GUCCAGGGUAGCCUAGUGGACAUGGCCCCUGCCCGGUAAGCAGAAGGUUGUGGGUUCGAUUCCCGCCCCUCGACA